rnacentral:rRNA from 1 species
CCGGAAUCGCUAGUAAUCGCGGAUCAGAAUGCCGCGGUGAAUACGUUCCCGGGUCUUGUACACACCGCCCGUCACACCAUGGGAGUUGGAAAUGCCCGAAGUCAGUGGCCCAACCGGAAGGGGGAGCUGCCGAAGGCAGGUUCGAUGACUGGGGUGAAGUCGUAACAAGGUAGC